rnacentral:misc_RNA from 1 species
UAUAUAUGCUACAUUAAACUACGUUGAUAUACCAUAUUAGCCUAAUAUAAUACAUAUAACAACAUAGUAAUUAUUAAGAAAGAAUUAAGAGUUAAGAGUAAUGUAAUAUAAUACAACAAAAUAGUGGUAUAAUAUAGCAACCAAGAACCCAAUGCAGGAAUAUAAUAUAGUGUAGAAAACUAAGAAUAAGAACGCAGCAACUUUCUAUUGUAAUGGACUAUAGAACAAAAUGAAUUACAACCUAACAGAAAUAAAAAAGAGAUAUAAACCAUCUACAGAAGAAACAGAAGUAAUGAAAUAAAUCACUAAAAGCGAUUAAAGGAGAACUCUUUUACGUUUGAACACAUCCUUUUACCUCUUUACUUGAAAUCACGUUUAUC